UAGCGAUAGCUAAUUGUAAAUAUCGACUAUGUCGAAUAAAAUUCUAGGUAGAAUUAUGAUAAUGACAUUAUCUGCCUAUGUGUCUUGACCAAAUUACGUGCCAGCAGUCGCGGUAAUACGUAGAAGACUAGUGUUAUUCAUCUUUAAUAGGUUUAAAGGGUACCUAGACGGUAAAUCAAGCACUAAUUUACUAGAGUUACUUGUGAGGGGGUUUUAAAGUACUGCUGGUAAAGAGAUGAAAUUCUUUGACACCUUUUCUUUACGGCACAGGUAUAGGCGAAGGCAUCCCCUUAUGUGAUAACUGACGUUGAGGGACGAAGGCUUUUUGUGCGAACAGGAUUAGAUACCCCAGUAUCAGAGCAGAAAAUGAUGAAUGUCAUAGAUUAGACAGUUUAUUCUAUAAAU
rnacentral:rRNA from 1 species